rnacentral:rRNA from 1 species
CCUACGGGAGGCAGCAGUGGGGAAUAUUGCACAAUGGGGGAAACCCUGAUGCAGCGACGCCGCGUGAGUGAAGAAGUAAUUCGUUAUGUAAAGCUCUAUCAGCAGGGGAGAAAAUGACGGUACCUGAGUAAGAAGCCCCGGCUAACUACGUGCCAGCAGCCGCGGUCAUACGUAGGGGGCAAGCGUUAUCCGGAUUUACUGGGUGUAAAGGGAGCGUAGACGGCAGUGCAAGUCUGGAGUGAAAGGCGGGGGCUCAACCCCCGGACUGCUCUGGAAACUGUACGGCUGGAGUGCAGGAGAGGUAAGUGGAAUUCCUAGUGUAGCGGUGAAAUGCGUAGAUAUUAGGAGGAACACCAGUGGCGAAGGCGGCUUACUGGACUGUAACUGACGUUGAGGCUCGAAAGCGUGGGGAGCAAACAGGAUUAGAUACCCUGGUAGUC